UACGGAGGGUGCAAGCGUUAUCCGGAUUUACUGGGUUGAAAGGGUGCGUAGGCGGGCCUGUAAGUCAGUGGUGAAAUCUUCCCGCUUAACGGGAAAACUGCCAUUGAUACUAUAGGUCUUGAAUUCAGUUGAGGUGGGCGGAAUGUGUCGUGUAGCGGUGAAAUGCUUAGAUAUGACACAGAACACCGAUUGCGAAGGCAGCUCGCUAAACUGACAUUGACGCUGAGGCACGAAAGCGUGGGGAUCAAACAGG
rnacentral:rRNA from 1 species